GACGAACGCUGGCGGCGUGCCUAAUACAUGCAAGUAGAACGCUGAAGGAGGAGCUUGCUUCUCUGGAUGAGUUGCGAACGGGUGAGUAACGCGUAGGUAACCUGCCUGGUAGCGGGGGAUAACUAUUGGAAACGAUAGCUAAUACCGCAUAAGAGUAGAUGUUGCAUGACAUUUGCUUAAAAGGUGCAAUUGCAUCACUACCAGAUGGACCUGCGUUGUAUUAGCUAGUUGGUGAGGUAACGGCUGACCAAGGCGACGAUACAUAGCCGACCUGAGAGGGUGAUCGGCCACACUGGGACUGAGACACGGCCCAGACUCCUACGGGAGGCAGCAGUAGGGAAUCUUCGGCAAUGGACGGAAGUCUGACCGAGCAACGCCGCGUGAGUGAAGAAGGUUUUCGGAUCGUAAAGCUCUGUUGUAAGAGAAGAACGAGUGUGAGAGUGGAAAGUUCACACUGUGACGGUAUCUUACCAGAAAGGGACGGCUAACUACGUG
rnacentral:rRNA from 1 species